UUAAGCGACUAAGCGUACACGGUGGAUGCCCUGGCAGUCAGAGGCGAUGAAGGACGUGCUAAUCUGCGAUAAGCGUCGGUAAGGUGAUAUGAACCGUUAUAACCGGCGAUUUCCGAAUGGGGAAACCCAGUGUGUUUCGACACACUAUCAUUAACUGAAUCCAUAGGUUAAUGAGGCGAACCGGGGGAACUGAAACAUCUAAGUACCCCGAGGAAAAAGAAAUCAACCGAGAUUCCCCCAGUAGCGGCGAGCGAACGGGGAGGAGCCCAGAGCCUGAAUCAGUGUGUGUGUUAGUGGAAGCGUCUGGAAAGGCGCGCGAUACAGGGUGACAGCCCCGUACACAAAAAUGCACAUGCUGUGAGCUCGAUGAGUAGGGCGGGACACGUGGUAUCCUGUCUGAAUAUGGGGGGACCAUCCUCCAAGGCUAAAUACUCCUGACUGACCGAUAGUGAACCAGUACCGUGAGGGAAAGGCGAAAAGAACCCCGGCGAGGGGAGUGAAAAAGAACCUGAAACCGUGUACGUACAAGCAGUGGGAGCACAGAGCAAUCUGUGUGACUGCGUACCUUUUGUAUAAUGGGUCAGCGACUUAUAUUCUGUAGCAAGGUUAACCGAAUAGGGGAGCCGAAGGGAAACCGAGUCUUAACUGGGCGUUAAGUUGCAGGGUAUAGACCCGAAACCCGGUGAUCUAGCCAUGGGCAGGUUGAAGGUUGGGUAACACUAACUGGAGGACCGAACCGACUAAUGUUGAAAAAUUAGCGGAUGACUUGUGGCUGGGGGUGAAAGGCCAAUCAAACCGGGAGAUAGCUGGUUCUCCCCGAAAGCUAUUUAGGUAGCGCCUCGUGAAUUCAUCUCCGGGGGUAGAGCACUGUUUCGGCAAGGGGGUCAUCCCGACUUACCAACCCGAUGCAAACUGCGAAUACCGGAGAAUGUUAUCACGGGAGACACACGGCGGGUGCUAACGUCCGUCGUGAAGAGGGAAACAACCCAGACCGCCAGCUAAGGUCCCAAAGUCAUGGUUAAGUGGGAAACGAUGUGGAAGGCCCAGACAGCCAGGAUGUUGGCUUAGAAGCAGCCAUCAUUUAAAGAAAGCGUAAUAGCUCACUGGUCGAGUCGGCCUGCGCGGAAGAUGUAACGGGGCUAAACCAUGCACCGAAGCUGCGGCAGCGACACUGUGUGUUGUUGGGUAGGGGAGCGUUCUGUAAGCCUGUGAAGGUGUGCUGUGAGGCAUGCUGGAGGUAUCAGAAGUGCGAAUGCUGACAUAAGUAACGAUAAAGCGGGUGAAAAGCCCGCUCGCCGGAAGACCAAGGGUUCCUGUCCAACGUUAAUCGGGGCAGGGUGAGUCGACCCCUAAGGCGAGGCCGAAAGGCGUAGUCGAUGGGAAACAGGUUAAUAUUCCUGUACUUGGUGUUACUGCGAAGGGGGGACGGAGAAGGCUAUGUUGGCCGGGCGACGGUUGUCCCGGUUUAAGCGUGUAGGCUGGUUUUCCAGGCAAAUCCGGAAAAUCAAGGCUGAGGCGUGAUGACGAGGCACUACGGUGCUGAAGCAACAAAUGCCCUGCUUCCAGGAAAAGCCUCUAAGCAUCAGGUAACAUCAAAUCGUACCCCAAACCGACACAGGUGGUCAGGUAGAGAAUACCAAGGCGCUUGAGAGAACUCGGGUGAAGGAACUAGGCAAAAUGGUGCCGUAACUUCGGGAGAAGGCACGCUGAUAUGUAGGUGAAGUCCCUCGCGGAUGGAGCUGAAAUCAGUCGAAGAUACCAGCUGGCUGCAACUGUUUAUUAAAAACACAGCACUGUGCAAACACGAAAGUGGACGUAUACGGUGUGACGCCUGCCCGGUGCCGGAAGGUUAAUUGAUGGGGUCAGCGCAAGCGAAGCUCUUGAUCGAAGCCCCGGUAAACGGCGGCCGUAACUAUAACGGUCCUAAGGUAGCGAAAUUCCUUGUCGGGUAAGUUCCGACCUGCACGAAUGGCGUAAUGAUGGCCAGGCUGUCUCCACCCGAGACUCAGUGAAAUUGAACUCGCUGUGAAGAUGCAGUGUACCCGCGGCAAGACGGAAAGACCCCGUGAACCUUUACUAUAGCUUGACACUGAACAUUGAGCCUUGAUGUGUAGGAUAGGUGGGAGGCUUUGAAGUGUGGACGCCAGUCUGCAUGGAGCCGACCUUGAAAUACCACCCUUUAAUGUUUGAUGUUCUAACGUGGACCCGUGAUCCGGGUUGCGGACAGUGUCUGGUGGGUAGUUUGACUGGGGCGGUCUCCUCCUAAAGAGUAACGGAGGAGCACGAAGGUUGGCUAAUCCUGGUCGGACAUCAGGAGGUUAGUGCAAUGGCAUAAGCCAGCUUGACUGCGAGCGUGACGGCGCGAGCAGGUGCGAAAGCAGGUCAUAGUGAUCCGGUGGUUCUGAAUGGAAGGGCCAUCGCUCAACGGAUAAAAGGUACUCCGGGGAUAACAGGCUGAUACCGCCCAAGAGUUCAUAUCGACGGCGGUGUUUGGCACCUCGAUGUCGGCUCAUCACAUCCUGGGGCUGAAGUAGGUCCCAAGGGUAUGGCUGUUCGCCAUUUAAAGUGGUACGCGAGCUGGGUUUAGAACGUCGUGAGACAGUUCGGUCCCUAUCUGCCGUGGGCGCUGGAGAACUGAGGGGGGCUGCUCCUAGUACGAGAGGACCGGAGUGGACGCAUCACUGGUGUUCGGGUUGUCAUGCCAAUGGCACUGCCCGGUAGCUAAAUGCGGAAGAGAUAAGUGCUGAAAGCAUCUAAGCACGAAACUUGCCCCGAGAUGAGUUCUCCCUGACCCUUUAAGGGUCCUGAAGGAACGUUGAAGACGACGACGUUGAUAGGCCGGGUGUGUAAGCGCAGCGAUGCGUUGAGCUAACCGGUACUAAUGAACCGUGAGGCUUAACCUU
rnacentral:rRNA from 1 species